AUGGCAUCGGCUCCAGGCCUGUGGUCUGACACACAAAAUGCCUUUUUCCUAAGGACUGUUGUGGGAAGCCGAGCACUUUGGCCGGGCACCAACUAUGUUUUGGCUCCCCAGCAGAUAUCAUUUAUCGCCACUCGGACAUUCCAGUGGUUCUCUGCACUGAGGCAGCAGCACAGCCAGCAGCUCAGCACCAUCUCAGCCUGCCCGUGUCACACGGCCCCACACACCCCACAGCAGCGAUGGGGCACAGGAACCGCGCUCACGCCUUCUCUGCUCACCAGCAUUAUUAACAUCACGGCACUGUUUUCCCACCCCUUCACCACCGGAGCAGAACAAACAGGAGAGGAUGUUUGCUCCAAGCAACAACGGAGCUCACACGGGAUUUCUGCAAACAACGAAUGUGGGACGAAGGGUCCUGGGGCGGCCGACACCCCAUGGGCACAUCGCCGCCCCUCGGGGCACCCAGCGCCCAGCACAGCGCCCAGCGCAUCCCGCAGCACAGCGCCCAGCACAGCGCCCAGCACAGCGCCCAGCACAGCGCCCAGCACAGCGCCCAGCACAGCCCCCAGCACAGCCCCCAGCACAGCCCCCAGCACAGCCCCCAGCACAGCGCCCAGCACAGCGCCCAGCACAGCGCCCAGCACAGCCCGCAGCACGGCCGGCUCGGGCCGCACAGCGCCGCCGGGUGCCUGCAGGACGGGCCCAAGUACAAGGCAGGAGCGGGGCUGUGCAGCCGGCGGGGCCGGGCCACAGCUGAGCACAGUGCGGUGCUCGGUUACAGCCGGUGCUAAAAGCGGGCACCGAGGGCGCUACCUGCGACCCGGCACUGCCUGCGACCCGGCACUACCUGCGAUCCGCCCUCAGCAGCCCGUCCCGGCCCGGCCCUGCCGGCACUGCCCGGCCCCGCCGCACAACUUUGGCUGUCACCGCCGCUGGAAGGAGCGGCCGCUUCCCGUCCCGUCCCGUCCCGCUCCCCCGCACCCAACAGCGGAUGAACCAACUUUCCUUCCCGUACUUUCCGCACUUACCGCGGCCGUUCCCCCCCAGCCGCACGGAGCGCGUGCGGGGCGGGCGGAAGCCGCGGCCGAGCAGCGCCCAGGCCGGGCCUUGAGCCCAGCUCAGCUCGAGCUCCCGCCCGGCCCGGCCCCACUCUCCCGCUCGCAGCCCGACGCCGAGGGCGCAGCCCGGCACUCACCUCCUCGGCCGGGCCCGGCUCCGCUCGCCCGGGGCUGCGCGGCCCAUCCGGCGCCAGGCGGCGGGAUGAGCUCAGCGCCUGCGGGAGGCGGCGAGUCCCCGCCCCGCAGCCCACGGCCAACCUCCAACGGAGCGGGAGCGGCUCCGCGGGGCGGGGCGGGAUCCGACACUGCUCGGCCACGGCUCGACCCGCCGGGACGGGCCGCACGGAGCUGGGGCGGGGCCGAGCGGAGCCAGCGCUGCCACCUGCGGGCGGGACGCGGCUGGGGACGGGCUGAGCCGCCUCGGAGCCGCAUCCGGCCUCAGCAGCGGAGCCGAUGA
rnacentral:lncRNA from 1 species